rnacentral:lncRNA from 1 species
ACUCUGGUUCUGUUAAACCUGCUUUAUCAGAAACUCUGUUUCUGAAAUCAGAAUCCCAGAUUUGAUGGGAUUAUGUUUUUUAAUGUUAGAAAGGUUAGAUGCUAAGAUGGACACUUUUGACUUGUAAAAGCUUUCUAUAAAAGCUUCCUUUUGUAACUUCUCAAGUAAGAGAAUACCAGAUCAAUAGAGAAGUCUUCUUCCUCAAUUUUUCAUUUUCUUCCCUUGCUCUCCAUUGCUGCAAUUGUUAACAGUGGUAUCAGAGCUUUUUAUGGUCUUUGUGUGACCUGUAAAAGAGAAAAAACUAGCAAGGAAAUCUUCCUACUUAUUUACAUUAGAAACCUGAAUCCAGGUUGCGGUCAAAAUCAAAUUCUUGUGAGUGAAAAUAUGGCUUCAAGUAGCUAUUCAGCUCCUCCACCACCUGUUUUCUCAGGAGAAAACUAUCCCAUCUGGUCAGUGAAGAUGAAGGCUUAUUUGAAGGCCUAUGAUCUAUGGGAAGUUUUGGAAACGGGUAGAGACCCACCUCCUUUGAGAGACAAUGCUACGGUUGCUCAAAUGAAGCAACAUAGUGAAGAGUGUGCAAAGAAGUUCAAGGCACUCUCUUGUCUUCAUUCUGCUGUUUCUGAUGUUAUUUUCACAAGAAUCAUGGCUUGUGAAUCAGCAAAAGAAGCUUGGGAUAAGCUGAAGGAAGAGUUCCAAGGAAGUGACAAAACUAGAAGCAUGCAGAUUCUAAAUUUGAGAAGAGAGUUUGAAGUCCUUAAAAUGAAGGAUUCUGAAUCUGUCAAGGAGUAUUCUGAUAGAUUACUCUCUGUUGUCAACAAAAUUAGACUUUUAGGAGAGGAGCUUAGUGAUAAAAGAGUUGUGGAGAAAGUUCUUGUAAGCCUACCCGAGAGAUUUGAGCCAAAGAUCUCUUCUUUGGAAGAUUCUAAAAACUUGAGCACCAUUUCUCUUUCAGAGUUGGUUAAUGCUCUACAAGCUCUUGAGCAAAGGAGGACAUUCAGAAUGGAGGAGUCCUCAGAGGAAGCUUUUCUUGUGAAGCAAAAGGGCAAGCUAGUUGAAGAAGUAAAGAAAGCUGCAAGUAAUUCUUUUAACAAGGGCAAGCAACAUGCAAAUAGAAGGAAGGGAGGUAGAAGAGCAAAUUUCCCACCUUGUCCUGCUUGCAACAAAACCAACCAUCUUGAGAAAGAUUGCUGGCAAAAGAGUGGAGUUAAGCCACCACAAUGUGGUUAUUGCAAGAAGCUGGGUCAUGUUGAUAAAAAUUGCAGACUCAAGCAAUAUAGGCAAAACCAGAAUCAUAACCAGCAACCUGCACAACAACUUAAUUACCAUGAUGAUCAAGCUCAAUGUGAUGAUCAUAUUUUUGCUGUUACACACUCCUCAAAUACCGGUUGCAGACACACUUGGCUUGUGGAUAGUGGUUGCACUUGUCACAUGGCAAGAGAUGAAAGCUUGUUCUCUUCUAUUGAUAAAUCAGUGAGGGUCAAAGUAAAGCUUGGAAAUGGAGAAAUUGUGGAGUCUCAAGGCAAGGGUUCAGUAUAUAUUCAGACUAAGCAAGGUAUCAAACUAGUUCCUAAUGUUCUUUUCAUUCCUAGUUUAGAUCAAAACUUGCUUAGUGUUGCUCAAAUGAUGAAGAAGGGUUAUUCCUUGUCAUUCAAAGACAAUGUGUGCUCCAUUUUUGACUCUCAUGGUGCUGAAAUUGUUAAAGUAAAUAUGGUGGGUAAUAGCUUUCCUUUAAAUUGGAAUUCAGUUCAACAACACACCUCAUAUAUUGCUAGAAAUGCUGAAUCUGAUUUGUGGCAUAAAAGAUUUGGCCACUACAACUUGAAUUCUCUCAAAUACAUGCAAAAUAAAGAAAUGGUUAGAGAUAUGCCUGAAAUUUUUCUUGAUGGUAGUGUAUGUGGAAAUUGCCAACUUGGCAAGUCUCAUAGACAAUUUUUUCCCUAUAAUGCAACAUGGAGAGCCAAGGAAAAGCUGGAAUUGGUUCAUACUGAUGUUUGUGGGCCAAUGAGGACAGCUUCCAUGAGUAACAACUUGUAUUUCAUCCUCUUUAUUGAUGAUUUGACAAGGAUGACUUGGGUUUAUUUUCUCACCAACAAAUCUCAAGUUUUUUCAGUAUUUAAAAAAUUUAAAGCUCUUGUUGAAAGGCAAAGUAGCUGCAAAUUAAAAACUUUGAGAUCAGAUAACGGUACUGAGUAUACUUCUGGUGAGUUUAACAAAUUCUGUGAAGAUUUGGGAAUCAAGCAUCAAUUUUCAGUUAGUUAUUCUCCUGAACAAAAUGGUGUCUCAGAGAGGAAGAAUAGAACAGUAAUGGAGAUGGCUAGAUGCAUGAUGAUUGAGAAGAAAUUACCAAAGAAUUUCUGGGCAGAAGCUGUACAUACAGCUGUAUAUCUUCUCAACAGGCUUCCUACAAGGUCAGUGCAAGGAAUGACACCUGUGGAGGCUUGGUUUGGUUCAAAACCAUCAGCAAAACACGUGAAAGUGUUUGGUUCCGCUUGUUACAUCCAUGUUCCUGCAGUAAAGAGAGGCAAGCUUGAUGAUAAGGCAGAAAUUGGUAUCUUUUUGGGUUAUGCAGCUCAAUCGAAGGGUUAUAGAGUGUACAAAGUUGAAGCCAAGAAGGUGGUUGUGUGUAGGGAUGUGAAGAUUGAUGAAGAUGCUUAUUGGAAUUGGAAAACAAAUCAAGUUGAGUAUUGUUGUUCAGAUCAGCAGCAAACUAGAACCGUUCCUGCAGUUCCAGAAUCAGAUUCUAAUUUCGAUACAGAUUCUGAUUUUGAUUCACCUCCACUAAGAACCAAAUCUCUUGCUGAGAUUUAUGAGAGUUGUAACCUGGCUAUUUCAGAACCUUCAAACUAUGUUGAAGCCUCAACCAAUGAUGCAUGGAUAGCUGCAAUGCAGGAGGAGAUUGGGAUGAUUAACAAGAAUGAAACUUGGAUUCUUACCCCUAGACCUCAGAAUAGGAGGGUCAUUGGAGUUAAAUGGGUAUACAGAGUUAAAUUAAAUCCUGAUGGAAGUGUGUUCAAGUACAAAGCAAGGCUAGUUGUUAAGGGAUAUGCUCAAGUCCCUGGUAUUGACUAUGGAGACACAUUUGCUCCUGUUGCAAGGCAUGAUACUGUGAGAUUGCUGAUUGCACUUGCUGCUCAAAACAAAUGGAAGAUUUUUCACUUGGAUAUCAAGUCUGCAUUCCUCAAUGGCAACUUGGAGGAAGAAAUCUUUGUUGAACAGCCUGAAGGAUUUGAAAUUGCUGGUUGUAAAGAUCAUGUCUACAAGCUUAAUAAAGCCUUGUAUGGGUUAAAACAAGCUCCAAGAGCUUGGUACAGCAGAAUGGAUUCUCAUUUACUUGAUCAAGGCUUUCAAAGAAGUCCUAAUGAGCCCACUUUAUAUGUGAAGCACACCAAAGGCAAGAGUUUGCUUAUUGUUUCUUUGUAUGUUGAUGAUUUAUUGGUAACAGGAGACAACUUAGAGGAAAUUCAAAGAUUCAAAGAAAGGGUUAUGCAUGAAUUUGAAAUGUCAGAUCUUGGUUUGAUGAAGUAUUUUCUUGGCAUUGAAGUCGACCAAUCUAAAAGUGGAAUAUUCAUCUCUCAGCACAAAUAUGCUCUUGAUAUGUUGAAGAAAUUCAAUAUGGAGAAUUGCAAAUCAGUUGCAACUCCAUUGGUACUGAAUGAGAAGCUUCAUAAAGAUGAUGGGGAACCAAAAGUAGAAGGUUCUACUUUCAGAAGUCUAAUUGGCAGCUUGUUGUAUUUGACUGCUACAAGGCCUGAUUUGAUGUUUUCAGCUAGUCUUUUAUCUAGAUUCAUGCAAUCUCCAAGUCAGAAGCAUUUUGGUGUUGCUAAAAGGGUCCUCAGGUAUUUGAAAGGUACUGCAAACUAUGGUAUUUAUUAUACCAAUGUUGAGGAUGCUACUUUGAUUGGCUAUUCAGAUAGUGAUUGGGCUGGUUGCUUGGAUGAUUAUAAAAGCACCUCUGGUUAUGUUUUUUCCUUUGGGUCUGGAGCCUUCACUUGGAAUUCAAGGAAACAAGAUAUUGUUGCUCAAUCCACAGCAGAAGCAGAGUAUGUUGCAGCUGCAUCUACUGCCAAUCAAGCCAUUUGGUUAAGAAAAAUUUUAUUUGAUUUGCAACAACCUGAAGAGGAACCUACAACUAUUUUUGUGGACAACAAAUCAGCUAUUUCCAUAGCUGAAAAUCCAGUUCAGCAUGGUAGGACCAAGCACAUUAAUGUGAAGUUUCAUGCUUUGAGAGAAGCUGAGAAGAAUGGAGAAAUCAAGCUGGUCCAUUGCACUUCAAAUUUGCAGCAGGCUGAUAUUUUUACAAAAGCAUUACCAAGAGCAAAACUUGAGUUCAUGAAAUCCUUGCUUGGUGUUUCCAAAAACAAUCUCAAGGAGGAGUGUUAGUCUAGUUGAGAUUGUAGUUGGAAACUAGUUAGAAAUAUUUUGUAUUUUUGUUAAGUUUUAUCCUUUGGUUAUUGCACUCUGGUUCUGUUAAACCUGCUUUAUCAGAAACUCUGUUUCUGAAAUCAGAAUCCCAGAUUUGAUGGGAUUAUGUUUUUUAAUGUUAGAAAGGUUAGAUGCUAAGAUGGACACUUUUGACUUGUAAAAGCUUUCUAUAAAAGCUUCCUUUUGUAACUUCUCAAGUAAGAGAAUACCAGAUCAAUAGAGAAGUCUUCUUCCUCAAUUUUUCAUUUUCUUCCCUUGCUC